GUCCACGCCGUAACGAUGAGAACUUGCUGUUGGGCACGUUUAGUGCAAAGUAGCGAAGCUAACGCGAUAAGUUCUCCGCCUGGGAGUACGGCCGCAAGGUUAAACUCAAAGGAAUUGACGGGGCCCGCACAAGCGGUGGAGCAUGUGGUUUAAUUCGAUGCAACGCGAAGAACCUUACCUACUCUUGUAUCUCCGGAAUUUUGCAGAGAUGCGAAAAGUGCCUUCGGGAACCGAAGACAGGUGCUGCAUGGCUGUCGU
rnacentral:rRNA from 1 species